AAUCCUGCCAGUGGCGAGGAUCCAAUCGCUAGUCGGCAUAGUUUGUGGUUAAGACUACGACGGUAUCUAAUCGUCUUCGAUCCCUCAACUUUAGUCCCUGAUCAAUGGAAACGUCCUAGGUCAAAUGCUUUCGCAGUUGUUUGUCUUCGGUCAAUCCAAGAAUUUCACCUCUAGCGACCAAAUACAAAUGCCCCCAACCGUUCCUAUUCAUCAUUUCCCAAGGUCAAGUAUACCAACAAAACAAGACUAGGGUCCUAUUUCAUUAUUCCAUGCUAACACAUUCAGGCACGAAGGCCUACUUUGAGCAUUCUGAUUUGCUCAUGGUAAUACGCUUGGGCAGAGAACCACGCCGACCGAAGCCAACAUGAUCAUACCCAAACUUUAUCACCCGGGCUAAAACAAAUCUAGCCAAAUGAAUGACCAGCUGCAUAGCCACAGGGCGUAAGUUCGACUACGGACGUUUUAACUGCAACAACUUUAAUAUACGCUUUUGGAGCUGGAAUUACCGCGGCUGCUGGCACCAGACUUGCCCUCCAAUUGAUCCUCGUUAAGGGAUUUAAAUUGUACUCAUUCCAAUUGCAAAGACCAUAAAGACCCUGCAUUGUUAUUUAUUGUCACUACCUCACCGUGUCGGUAUUGGGUAAUUUGCGCGCCUGCUGCCUUCCUUGGAUGUGGUAGCCGUUUCUC
rnacentral:rRNA from 1 species